rnacentral:rRNA from 1 species
CGAGGCGAACCGGGGGAACUGAAACAUCUCAGUACCCCGAGGAAAAGAAAUCAACCGAGAUUCCCCCAGUAGCGGCGAGCGAACGGGGAGCAGCCCAGAGUCAACAUCAAUAUUUACCGCAGGAGAAGGGUCUGGAAAGGCCGGCAAUAAAGGGUGAUAGCCCCGUAUCUGAAACGGUAAGUGUUGUGAACUCGAAGAGUAGGGCGGGACACGUGUUAUCCUGUCUGAAUAUGGGGGGACCAUCCUCCAAGGCUAAAUACUCCUGACUGACCGAUAGUGAACCAGUACCGUGAGGGAAAGGCGAAAAGAACCCCGGCGAGGGGAGUGAAAUAGAACCUGAAACCGUGUACGUACAAGCAGUGGGAGCCCCAUCACUCAAGUGCCUCGGCAGUUGAGUGAUGGCUUACCAUCACAAUAGCAGCGCAGGCUUUGCCAACAAGGUUGGCUUUGGUCGCUUUUUUCAAGCCGCAGCACAGUGUACCGAGAAGUACACGCGCAGCGGAAGUUAAAAAAGCGGGCAAGAUUGGCCGCAAAGACAAGCGGG